rnacentral:rRNA from 1 species
UGGGGAAUAUUGGACAAUGGAGGAAACUCUGAUCCAGCAAUUCUGUGUGUGUGAAGAAGGUUUUAGGACUGUAAAACACUUUUAGUAGGGAAGAAAAAAAUGAUGGUACCUACAGAAGAAGCAACGGCUAAAUACGUGCCAGCAGCCGCGGUAAUACGUAUGUUGCGAGCGUUAUCCGGAAUUAUUGGGCUUAAAGGGCAUCUAGGCGGUAAGACAAGUUGAAGGUGAAAACCUGUGGCUCAACCAUAGGCUUGCCUACAAAACUGUUGAACUAGAGUACUGGAAAGGUGGGUGGAACUACACGAGUAGAGGUGAAAUUCGUAGAUAUGUGUAGGAAUGCCGAUGAUGAAGAUAACUCACUGGACAGAAACUGACGCUGAAGUGCGAAAGCUAGGGGAGCAAACAGG